GACCUCUCCUCUAUGGUCGAAACUCUCCUAGCUACCUCCACCUUUCUGAAACCGUCGAAAUUACUCCAAUCAUCCACUCCUCUGCGAUUAAAUAUUUGAUGUGGUUGAUGGCAUUCAUUCAUAGCAAUAAAUUCAUCUGUCCAGCUUCCAAGCGUUCCUCACAUAUCGCAUACACUAUAUAUGAAUGAUGAACUCUCCUAGGUGUACUUUGUAAGGUUGCUGGUCUAAUACCAAUAUCUCGAGAAGGAGAAUGAUGAUGUGGAUAUCAAAAUUGGCAAAGGCUGUCUGCUUCGUGACAGAUUAACAUGGAAAGGCGGGCAUGACGAAGCUGCAGCUGCUACAAUGUACCUAAAGGACACACUUACUACUGAAGAACAGCAACAACUAAUCACCUGUCUCUCCAAAGAUAAAGUAAAUAAUCCUACCCUUCAUGAGAUCAUAAUCACUCUAAAAGUUAAUCUUUUAAUUGGUCUUUGUAUUGUAUCUGGUUUCUGAAUAGAGGAAAGAAUUAUAGUGGAAAACACUUACGGUUGGGGAGGUUGGGAAAUAAGCCAGAAAAUGCAACAAAAUAAGUAUCAAUAAGGAAAAAAAGAGUGCUCUGAUUUUAUGAAAGCAGUCAGAAACUACUACUCUUGGUUGUGUUGAAGUUAGCUUCUUAGUACUGAGAGAAAACAAUGUACACAAUCUAUAGAUAAUAUUAUAUUCGAUUUAUUAUUCCAAAGAAAACCUUAGAAAUCAAUGGGAUGACGUGAUCAUAGUCCAGAUUUGCCAAUGUUAUUUGUGUUACGUCGGCUCUUCUUCCGGGCUCUUUUUCCUGUACCACGGCUCUUGCUGCCCUUUUUGGAAGGUAUGUUUGCUCGCUUCGACCAAACCCAUCUCAUAGUCACUAAGAUUCGAUUUUAAGUGUAGGUUUGUUUGCUCAUGAUUGUUGUUCUCUGUUUCUUGAGACAAAUGCAGGGGAUUGCAGAGCUGUUCUCUGUAAGAAGGUGAAGCAAUAAACAUGUCUCAAGACGACAGACCAAUCUACUUA